CUGCUAUCGGAUUGAUACUAAGCCAUGCGAGUCUUUGUAGUAAUACAAGGCAGACGGCUUAGUAACACGUAGUCAACCUACCCUAUGGACAAGAAUAAUCUCGGGAAACUGGGCGUAAUUCUUGAUAGAUCAUAAUGCCUGGAAUGGUUUAUGGUUAAAAUGAUUCGUCGCCAUAGGAUGGGACUGCGGCCUAUCAGCUUGUUGGUGAGGUAAUGGCCCACCAAGGCGAUUACAGGUACGGGCUCUGAGAGGAGAAGCCCGGAGAUGGGUACUGAGACACGGACCCAGGCCCUAUGGGGCGCAGCAGGCGAGAAAACUUUGCAAUGUGCGAAAGCACGACAAGGUUAAUCCGAGUGAUUUCUGCUAAAGAAAUCUUUUGCCAGUCAUAAAACCACUGGUGAAUAAGGGGUGGGCAAGUUCUGGUGUCAGCCGCCGCGGUAAAACCAGCACCUCAAGUGGUCAGGAUGAUUAUUGGGCCUAAAGCAUCCGUAGCCGGCUUUGUAAGUUUUCGGUUAAAUCCAUGUGCUCAACGCAUGGGCUGCCGAAAAUACUGCAUGGCUAGGGAGUGGGAGAGGUAGACGGUACUCAGUAGGAAGGGGUAAAAUCCUUUGAUCUAUUGAUGACCACCUGUGGCGAAGGCGGUCUACCAGAACACGUUCGACGGUGAGGGAUGAAAGCUGGGGGAGCAAACCGGAUUAGAUACCCGGGUAGUCCCAGCUGUAAACGAUGCAGACUCGAUGAUGCAUUGGCAUAAUAGCCAGUGCAGUGUCGCAGGGAAGCCGUUAAGUCUGCCGCCUGGGAAGUACGUACGCAAGUAUGAAACUUAAAGGAAUUGGCGGGGGAGCACCACAAGGGGUGAAGCCUGCGGUUCAAUUGGAUCACCGCCGGA
rnacentral:rRNA from 1 species